AAGGGAGCAAUUCAAGGGCGUAUGGUGGAUGCCUAGACACGGAAAGCCGAUGAAGGACGUAGCAGCCUGCGAAAAGCCUCGGGGAGGUGGCAAGCAACCUUUGAUCCGGGGAUUUCCGAAUGGGGAAACCUGGUCCGCCGUUGAGGCGGAUCGCAAUCCAGGGCGACCUGGUGCGCGGGCACCCGCUGAAGUGAAACAUCUCAGUAAGCGGAGGAAAGGAAAAAAACUCCAGCCAUUAGUCUAGGGCCGGCAGUUUGCCCGCCCGGCGCGAGCCGGACGGCGACAGCCUUCCUGGACUACUGGCUUCCAUUCCCUAAGUAGUGGCGAGCGAAAGGGGAACAGCCCAAACCCAUCGCGUGGUUCGGCGUACUGAACAUGGAUGGCAACAUUCGUGUCGCAGGCGUCGAAUAAAGGCGCGGACCGUUGCGCGGUGGGUGUUGUACGGUCUCCAUUAGGGAUGUCCGUGACAUCCCGGCAGAGUCAUCAUAGACGCGGAGUCUAGGGGAACGGCUUGGAAAAGCCGGCCAAAGAGGGUGAAAGCCCCGUACGUGAAAGACACCGCACCUCUGCUAUGGAUUCUCGUGAGUAGCGCGGGACUCGUGAAAUCCCGUGUGAAGCAGCGACGACUAUGUCGCAAGGCUAAAUACUUUCCGUGAUCGAUAGUGAACAAGUACCGUGAGGGAAAGGUGAAAAGUAGCCCGGGAGGGCGAUGAAAUAGUAUCUGAAACCGUACGCUUACAAGGAGUCGAAGUCCGUACCCUGUUCCUUCGGGUUCAGGGGGGAUGACGGCGUUCCUAUUGAAGAAUGAGCCAACGAGUUCGAUGUAUGUCGCUCGGUUAAGCCCCCGAGGGGGCGAAGCCAUAGUGAAAGCGAGCCUUAACGGGCGAACGUCGACUCUCGAUUCCGCGUCGAAGACCCCACGAGCGAUCGGGGGACUCUGACGCGGUUCCGAGUGUCGACAGGUGGCAUACACGAGACCCGAAACCCAGUGAGCUAACCAUGGCCAGGAUGAACCAAGGGUAACACCUUGGGGAGGUCCGAACCCGUUAGUCGUGUAACGCUAUGGGAUGAGCUGUGGUUAGAGGUGAAAUGCUAAUCGAACUGGGUAAUAGCUGGUUCUCCGCGAAAUAGCUUUAGGGCUAGCGUCGAGGUACGAAGCAUGCGGGGGUAGAGCACUGAAUGGGGGUCCGGGGGCAACCUUAGGGCUUCCAACCAAACUCCGAAUACCGCAUGUGGAUUCUCGGCAGUCAGACUAUGGGGGCUAAGCUCCAUCAGUCGCAAGGGAAACAGCCCAGAUCCCAAACUAAGGUCCCUAAAUCUCAGUUAAGUGUGAAAGGUGGUGGGGUGACUCAUACAACCAGGAUGUUGGCUUAGAAGCAGCCAUCAUUUAAAGAAAGCGUAACAGCUCACUGGUCAAGUUAUCCUGCGCCGAAAAUUCAUCGGGGCUAAACUGAGUACCGAAGUUGGGGGCUUGUCCCGCAAGGGACGAGCGGUAGCGGAGCGUUCUCUCAUGGAUGAAGUCGGACCCGCGAGGGCCGGUGGACGUGAGAGAAGUGAGAAUGUUGGCAUAAGUAGCAAGAAUGAAGGUGAGAACCCUUCACGCCGUAAACCCAAGGUUUCCUGGGCAACGCAACUCGUCCCAGGGUUAGUCGGGCCUAAGGCGAGGCCGAAAGGCGUAGUCGAUGGACAGCAGGUUAAUAUUCCUGCACUCCCGUAUGGGUCGAUGGGGUGACGCAUCGCUUUAUUCCGAGCGAUCUCCGGCUAUGGUCGUCGCGAGGGCGCAAGAGGGCUACCAGGCAAAUCCGGUAGCGGAAAUCAAGCGCUCGGCGGAAGUCUGCCGCGAGGCGGGCAAUUCGGGAAACAGUGGUGCCGAGAAAAGCCUCUAAGAGUUAUCUCAUACGGGAUCCGUACCGCAAACCAACACAGGUGGGUGGGCACAAGUGUGCCAAGGCGAACGAGAGAACCCUCGUUUAGGAACUCGGCAAAAUAGUGGCCGUAACUUCGGGAUAAGGCCCGGUCUUCCUUCGGGAGGACCCGCAGCGAGCGACUGCCAUCCGACUGUUUACCAAAAACACAGGUCUCUGCUAAGCCGCAAGGCGAUGUAUAGGGGCUGAUGCCUGGCCAGUGUCAGAACGUUAAGAGGAGGGGUGAAAUUCUUCUUCGGAAGGGCGUAGCUUUGAAUCUAAGCGCUGAUGAACGCCGGCGGUAACUAUAACCGUCCUAAGGUAGCGAAAUUCCUUGUCGGGUGAGUUCCGACCCGCACGAAUGGCAUAACGAGAUGGCAACUGUCUCAACGAGGGACUCGGCGAAAUUGCAAGGGGAGUGAAGAUGCUCUCUACCCGUAGCUGGACGAAAAGACCCCGUGAAGCUUUACUACAACUUGCUAUUGGGUUCACGCUCCACAUGUUCAGCGUAGGUGGGAGCCUUCGGGCGCCAAUGAGACACCACCCUUGUGUUGUGUGAAUUCUAAUCCUGUGACCUCACAGGUCGCGAAAAAGUCCUUCGCCUCACCGAUCACGGAAGAGGUAUGCUCUUUACACUUUUCGCGAUCGGUGCGGUCACGGGAGACAGUAGCUGGUGGGUAGUUUGACUGGGGCGGUCGCCUCCCAAAAUGUAACGGAGGCGUUUACAAAGGUCGGCUUAGUUCCGAUGGAAACGGAGCUGGACGUGCAAACGCAAAAGCCGGCUUUACUGGAAGUCCUACCAGACGACCAGUCGCGAAAGCGGAAGUUAGUGAUCCGACCGUACGAUAUAGGACGGCGGAAGCUCAACGGAUAAAAGCUACUCCGGGGAUAACAGGCUGAUCGGGUCCAAGAGUCCACAUCGACGACCCGGUUUGGCACCUCGAUGUCGGCUCAUCGCAUCCUGGGGCUGGAGAAGGUCCCAAGGGUUAGGCUGUUCGCCUAUUAAAGCGGUACGCGAGCUGGGUUCAGAACGUCGUGAGACAGUUCGGUCUCCUAUCCGCUACGGGCGUCGAGACUUGAGGGCACGCUUCUCUAGUACGAGAGGACCGAGAAGCACGGACCUCUAGUGUACCAGUUGUUCCGCCAGGGGCAUUGCUGGGUAGCUACGUUCGGUGAAGAUAAGCGCUGAAAGCAUCUAAGCGCGAAACUUCGUCCAAGAUUAGGUCUCAUAGGCUCCAGGGAGAUUACCUGGUCGAUAGGCGGCAGGUGUAAGACCAGCAAUGGUUUGAGCCGAGCCGUACUAAUAAGCCGUCUGCUUUCCUCA
rfam:Parcubacteria bacterium SG8_24 WOR_8-12_6540, whole genome shotgun sequence.